CUUCGGGAAAAGAGGCUGAGCAGGGACAGGGCAUUGGGGAGGAGCAGUGGGUGGGGCCUUGAGGGGAAGAGGCUGAGUAGGGGCGGGGCUUUGGGGUGGAGCAU